rnacentral:rRNA from 1 species
CCUUCGGGUGGGGAGUGGCAGACGGGUGAGUAACGCGUGGGAACGUACCCUUUGGUUCGGGAUAACCCAGGGAAACUUGGGCUAAUACCGGAUGCGCCCUGGACUUUGGUCUGGGGGAAAGAUUUAUCGCCGAAGGAUCGGCCCGCGUCGGAUUAGCUAGUUGGUGGGGUAAAGGCCCACCAAGGCGACGAUCCGUAGCUGGUCUGAGAGGAUGAUCAGCCACACUGGGACUGAGACACGGCCCAGACUCCUACGGGAGGCAGCAGUGGGGAAUAUUGGUCAAUGGGCGCAAGCCUGAACCAGCCAUGCCGCGUGAGUGAAGAAGGCCUUAGGGUUGUAAAGCUCUUUCAGCGGGGACGAUAAUGACGGUACCCGCAGAAGAAGCCCCGGCUAACUUCGUGCCAGCAGCCGCGGUAAUACGAAGGGGGCUAGCGUUGUUCGGAAUUACUGGGCGUAAAGCGCGCGUAGGCGGAUAUUUAAGUCAGGGGUGAAAUCCCAGGGCUCAACCCUGGAACUGCCUUUGAUACUGGAUAUCUGGAGUUCGGGAGAGGUGAGUGGAAUUCCGAGUGUAGAGGUGAAAUUCGUAGAUAUUCGGAGGAACACCAGAAGCGAAGGCGGCUCACUGGCCCGAUACUGACGCUGAGGCGCGAAAGCGUGGGGAGCAAACAGGAUUAGAUACCCUGGUAGUCCACGCCG